GAGUUUGAUCAUCGGCUCAGAACGACGCUGGCGGCAGGCCUAACACAUGCAAGUCGAACGCCGUAGCAAUACGGAGUGGCAGACGGGUGAGUAACGCGUGGGAACAUGCCCUUGGUUCGGAAUAACUCAGGGAAACUUGAGCUAAUACCGGAUAAGCCCGAGAGGGGAAAGAUUUAUCGCCGAAGGAUUGGCCCGCGUCCGAUUAGCUAGUUGGUGAGGUAAUGGCUCACCAAGGCGACGAUCGGUAGCUGGUCUGAGAGGAUGAUCAGCCACACUGGGACUGAGACACGGCCCAGACUCCUACGGGAGGCAGCAGUGGGGAAUAUUGGACAAUGGGCGCAAGCCUGAUCCAGCCAUGCCGCGUGAGUGAUGAAGGCCCUAGGGUUGUAAAGCUCUUUCGCCAGGGACGAUAAUGACGGUACCUGGAUAAGAAGCCCCGGCUAACUUCGUG
rnacentral:rRNA from 1 species